GGGAAUGUAGCUUAGUGGUAGAGUGCUUGUCUAGUACGCAUGAAACCCUGAGUUCAAAUCCUCAGUACCA
rfam:Dipodomys ordii contig_23182, whole genome shotgun sequence.